UGCGUCGAAGAACUUAAAUCAUCUAGAAGUAGAAAUAUUACAGACCAAUUACGAAAUACGUAACUCACAACGAAAGGUGAUAAUAGUUUGGAUAAAAGGACAUUCGGGUAUUCAAGGAAAUGAAAUUGCCGAUAAGUUUGCAAAGGCUGCGUCAGACUUAGACAGAGAGUGUAUUAAUCAGCGUAUUCCUUAUACCGAUUUGAAUUCCAUACUUAAAAUUCAGCUCAAAACCAAAUGGCAAGAAUUGUAUAACAGCAAACAAACAGGACUAAAUUACAAAU
rnacentral:lncRNA from 1 species